CCUACGGGAGGCAGCAGUGAGGAAUAUUGGUCAAUGGGCGUAAGUCUGAACCAGCCAAGUCGCGUGCAGGAUGACGGCUCUAUGGAUUGUAAACUUCUUUUAUAAGGGAAUAAAGCGCGGGACGUGUCCCGUUUUGUAUGUACCUUAUGAAUAAGGAUCGGCUAACUCCGUGCCAGCAGCCGCGGUAAUACGGAGGAUCCGAGCGUUAUCCGGAUUUAUUGGGUUUAAAGGGUGCGUAGGCGGCCUUUUAAGUCAGGGGUGAAAGUCUGUGGCUCAACCAUAGAAUUGCAGUUGAAACUGGGAGGCUUGAGUAUGUUUGAGGUAGGAGGAAUGCGUGGUGUAGCGGUGAAAUGCUUAGAUAUCACGCAGAACCCCGAUUGCGAAGGCAGCCUGCGAAGCCAUGACUGACGCUGAUGCACGAAAGCGUGGGGAUCAAACAGGAUUAGAUACCCUUGUAGUC
rnacentral:rRNA from 1 species